rnacentral:rRNA from 1 species
AACGAACGCUGGCGGCAUGCCCAACACAUGCAAGUCGAACGAGACCUUCGGGUCUAGUGGCGCACGGGUGCGUAACGCGUGGUAACCUGCCCUUAGGUUCGGAAUAACUCCCCGAAAGGGGUGCUAAUACCGGAUAAUGUCUUCGGACCAAAGAUUUAUCGCCUUUGGAUGGGCCCGCGUUGGAUUAGCUAGUUGGUAGGGUAAAAGCCUACCAAGGCGACGAUCCAUAGCUGGUCUGAGAGGAUGAUAAGCCACACUGGGACUGAGACACGGCCCAGACUCCUACGGGAGGCAGCAGUAGGGAAUAUUAGACAAUGGGCGAAAGCCUAAUCCAGCAAUGCCGCGUGAGUGAUGAAGGCCUUAGGGUUGUAAAGCUCUUUUACCCGGGAUGAUAAUGACAGUACCGGGAGAAUAAGCUCCGGCUAACUCCGUG